AGGGAGUUAGUCCAAUAAAGACCUCUGAUUUCGGCUUAGAAGAUCGUGGUUUAACUCCACGGCCCCCUU
rnacentral:tRNA from 1 species